CAUACGUAGUUAGAAAGAAAGUCGAGUGGAAAUUAGUCGGACAAUGGAGGCUGCAAGUGAAAUCCUUUUUGGAACCCGACGGCCACCACUCCUUCUUUUAUAAUCCCUAUACCUUUUUUGGUGCACUUGUGCCAAACAAUUUGUAAGCCAUCAUUUCAAUUAAGAUGCAUAAAUCACGCCGAAAUCAGCAGCCUCAUCAGGGCAGCAACAGCAACAUCAUCACCACCGCCAUGAUUAUCCGCCGCGUACACAUCGUUAUCCUCAAUCCCUCGUCGGGAGUUCGUUUCACUCGAUGCCGCCUUGGGUUUGGGCUUUCGAUUCUGUUAAACGAACCAAUUUAAACGGCGCAUCGACAAUGGAUAAAGUGGCAGAAGUGUGCGGGUGUGUCUCAAUCCUUUCCAGGGGCGAAAGGGAUCGACGAUUGCAGCUCUUUUUAGUCGGCUCGUGAAACUGCUGUUUCACGCUUCAGCAAAUGCUCUUCGAGCCACAGCAGCUGUGGAGGUAUCAACAAAUUGCAGCAGAUACAAUGCAGAGAUGCCAACAGUCCUGUUCUGGAUUCCACACUUAUUUAUGGGUUUCAAAUUUAAAUGAAGUAAAGGGAAUCGAUCCUUAUUUGUGGAAUGAAUAUUUUACAAUUUCGAAUUUCCAAGAAGUUUA